rnacentral:rRNA from 1 species
AUGAGGCCUAGUUCCACCUUCGCAAGAGACCCGUGGUCAAUUGGGUCUUGCCCGCCAGGACCUGCUAUGACCGUUACCCGAUCUAUUGAGGCCUGGUGGACGGCGGCUCCUGUUUCCACACUAAGCAGGGUUUGGUUUGAUCAAAAGAAGCCACGUAUUUUGAGGUUGGAUGGAUUAACAGUUAGGCAAGAAAUCAUUGGGGCGCUGAGAUUAAGCCACGAGUGUUGCACAUUGCUGAUUAGGCGCAUUCGGCAGAUUGAUAGGAAGAACUCAAAGGACGCAUCAGGGAAUGUUUGGCGUAAAUUCAUGGACCCUGAUUUUGCGGUUAGUACAAUUUCAUCAUGGGGUGUGUACAAUAAGAAAACCUUCUGCUUGGGUGGUCUAGAUCCACGAUAUGUUCUAUCGAUACAGGAAGAAUUCUUGUCAGAUGAUACUAUUGGAGCUUGCAGGAUGAUUGUGGUGCCAACUUUCCUACAUGAUGGUUGGGUGCAUGUUGGGGAUCGGGAAAAUAUCAGGUGCUACGGGAGGGUGUUUGUUCAUGAAGAAGCUAGUGGGCGGGUGUUGCAUGGCUUUUUCAAUUGCGUAAAUCAUUUCUUCACCGACUGGGGCCAAGAUUCCGGAAUUUCAUCUGUUUUCUUGGCAAGGAAUCAGGACGGUGGUAAACUAAUGAGAAAUCUGACAAAGGACGUCUUGGUGGACUAUCGGAAAAUGUGCUUGUACGAGGUUAUGCGACUGAAAGACAAUAAUUGCAAGGUGGCUGAGGGACACACUGGAAUCCAUCAAGACUUCUUUCCAUCUCAUUUGACCCGUGCACUAUCUGAAAGGGAGUGUGUUACUGCGGACCUUGGCUGCCCGUUGUCGACGUUCCCCCAAUCAUACCUCGUUCUACCCCUCCCCAAAGGCGCUGUAGCCAGGAUGGACCGCCCCCGCCGGGCCAUGUUCUGGAAAGGGGCGAGUGAGUGCUCCGGGGGAGACUGCCAGGUUGCCUGGCAUGAGGCUUGUCGUCUCCGCACAGAGGGGGGGCUUGGAUUGAUCGGCAUUGAGGUCCAGAACACAUGUCUCUUGCUGAAGAUGGUCCAUAAAAUCUUCAGUGGCUUUCGUACCCCCUGGACUACCUGGGUGCGCCGUUGGUACUUGGGUGACCGUCCCGCGGCUUCGACACCCUCUUGGAAGGUGUUCGCCUCCCUGGUCCCCCUCUAUCAUUCCCUAACAUCUGUAAGGAUUGGGGACGGGGUGGGCACGUCCAUCUGGCAUGACAAUUGGACCUCUCUCGGGGCCUUGGCGGCCGCUCUUCCCGCCGCGUACACACACUGUCUCCACCCUAGCGCAACCUUGGAGGAUUUUGGGCGGCUCGGCCCCAAUGCAAUUCCUAUGCAUGAUCGUCUGUCUAGGUCUGCUGAGUUGGAGCUCCACUUACUUCGGUCUGCGCUUGCUCGCGUGCGUUUCUCUUCGACAAUUGAUGAGCGGACACUCGCUUGGGGGGGGGGGUGUCUACAGUUCAAGGCAUGUGCGGAGUACCAUAUGAUCAAAAGCUCUGGCUGCGGGCUCCCCCUGCACGACUUAAACUGGGACGGCUUUGUGCCCCUCAAAGUCAAGGUGUUCGCCUGGGUUCUACGGCAUGGCAACACCCGCACGAGGGCCUUCCUUCAUCGAAUCGGGUUCCUUGACUAUGACGAUUGCCUUUCUGCCCCGGGCGGUCGGAAACUAUCACACACCUCUUCUUGGAAUGCCCCCGUUUGCGUCAGAUGUGGGCGUGUAUCCUCGACCGUCGUCACUUGCCAGUUGACUGCACGGUGGAAAGAGUUUGGGCCACCUUCUCUGCUUGUCAUCCUUCUUGGAGCCGUCCUCUCCUCAGCACGGCGAUGUGCGCUGUCCUUUGGGUGGUCUGGAAGUCCAGGAACCGGAUGUUGGUUGGUUGGUGUGAACCGCGUGCCGGCACGGCACGGCCCGUAUAGUAAUCGUGGCCUGGCGGGCCGUGCCGGGCCAGGCACGAUUAUAAUGGGCCGGGCCGGCCCGUUUGGCCAGCCACGGGGGUGCGGUGGUGCUCCUCGCCGGUGUAGCAACGCACCUCUUCCGUACAGGCAGUUACCUCUGGCUUACGAGCCUGCGAGGUACUGCUCGUGCACUCCGGCCGCCAAGGCGCCACUCUGGAUCUCUUGGAGUGAUCUUAACCCUGGCAGACGGUACCUAGCUUGCGCCAAAGGGAGGGGUGCUGGGUGCGGUUUCUUCGAGUGGGCCGACCCGGAGCCUAACGCCUUCAUGAACCAGCUGCUACUGGAUCUCCGCAACGCAGUGUGGGCUCUGGAGGCACAGAAUCGUCUCUUGAAUCGGAGCGUGCAUGGGGCGAGGACGCAAGUGCUCGAAGGAAUGGUAGUCCAGGAGGCGACGAGCGCUCAGGUGCAACAGAGGGGUGGAGAAAAUAUGAUGAUUCAUAGCCAAGAUUCUGAGAUGCUUCGCAAAGCUGUGGCAGAUCUCGAAGCUCAGAGGAAGUUCAUGGUGGGGUGCGCUCUGUCAUUAGUGAUGCUCUUUGCAUUCGGGCUUGUUUUCGCCCCAUGGCAUCCGUCACGAUGUCGGGCGGAUGUGGUGGGUUUCCUGUCAAGGGCGACAUCACGAGAGGAACUCCCGACCCCGUGCGGCCACCGCCGGGCCGCACCGGGCGGCCACAUCCCGAUCUCCCCUCGACUCCCCGUGCACCCCCUCCCUCCGCCGCCGACGGCAACGUCGCUGGGCGAAGGCCCCGUGGCGCGGCGGCGGCGGACCUUCUCUGGCGUCCUGAGAUCUGAGGCGGCGGCGGCCUGA